rnacentral:rRNA from 1 species
UGGGGAAUUUUGGACAAUGGGCGCAAGCCUGAUCCAGCAAUGCCGCGUGCAGGAUGAAGGCCUUCGGGUUGUAAACUGCUUUUGUACGGAGCGAAAAGGUCUGCCCUAAUACGGUGGGCUCAUGACGGUACCGUAAGAAUAAGCACCGGCUAACUACGUGCCAGCAGCCGCGGUAAUACGUAGGGUGUGAGCGUUAAUCGGAACUACUGGGCGUAAAGCGUGCGCAGGCGGUUAUAUAAGAUAGAUGUGAAAUCCCCGGGCUCAACCUGGGACCUGCAUUUGUGACUGUAUAGCUAGAGUACGGUAGAGGGGGAUGGAAUUCCGCGUGUAGCAGUGAAAUGAGUAGAUAUGCAGAGGAACACCGAUGGCGAAGGCAAUCCCCUGGACCUGUAAUGACGCUCAUGAACGAAAGCGUGGGGAGCAAACA